rnacentral:tRNA from 1 species
GUGGAUGUAGCGCAGUUGGUUAGAGCGCAAGAUUGUGGAUCUUGAGGUCGUGGGUUCAAGCCCCACCUUCCACCCCA